CAGACUGAGAGCCCAAUGUCGUUGGAAACCACUGGGCCACAGGAAAGGCAGGCUCUCUCAGUCCUGCUCCUGCCAUGGAAGAAGCCUGCUCCCACCAUGCCUUCUGCCACGAGUAAAAGUUCCCUGAGGCCUCCCCAGAAGCAGAUGCUGUCGUGCUUCCUGUAUAGCUGCAGAACUACUUAUAGAUGGGGUCACACACCAUUCUACAAAGAGGGGAGUCUCUCCGUGAAAUGACUUGAACUUAUAAAGCGCAUUCUGCUAUGUGGUUGCCUCACCAACUCCCUUCCUGCCUGGACUAUUACAGUAACCUGUGGAUUGGUCUCCUUGCCUUGAGACGAUGACAUUUCUGGCACCUAAACCCAUCAGCAUCAAGUUGUUCUUUUGAAAACAUAAAUAUGACCAUGUUACAUGUUUUUAAACCUUUCAAUGGAAUACUUUCACCUACAGGAUAAUGUUUAGAUUUUUUAACAUGGCAUGCAUGACGCUUCACUCUCUGGCUUCCACACAUUCUCCAGAAUUACU
rnacentral:lncRNA from 1 species